rnacentral:pre_miRNA from 13 species
CUAUAUAUACACAUAUAUAUGUGUGUGUAUAUAUAUAUACACACAUAUAUAUGUGUAUAUAUAGG